GAUGAACGCUGGCGGCGUGCCUAAUACAUGCAAGUCGAGCGAACAGACGAGGAGCUUGCUCCUCUGACGUUAGCGGCGGACGGGUGAGUAACACGUGGAUAACCUACCUAUAAGACUGGGAUAACUUCGGGAAACCGGAGCUAAUACCGGAUAAUAUAUUGAACCGCAUGGUUCAAUAGUGAAAGACGGAUUUGCUGUCACUUAUAGAUGGAUCCGCGCCGGAUUAGCUAGUUGGUAAGGUAACGGCUUACCAAGGCAACGAUGCGUAGCCGACCUGAGAGGGUGAUCGGCCACACUGGAACUGAGACACGGUCCAGACUCCUACGGGAGGCAGCAGUAGGGAAUCUUCCGCAAUGGGCGAAAGCCUGACGGAGCAACGCCGCGUGAGUGAUGAAGGUCUUCGGAUCGUAAAACUCUGUUAUUAGGGAAGAACAAAUGUGUAAGUAACUAUGCACGUCUUGACGGUACCUAAUCAGAAAGCCACGGCUAACUACGUG
rnacentral:rRNA from 1 species